CAUGACAGCAUUGCAAAAUGUGCCUCAUGGAAACUUAUGAAUGACAUAUGUUACCAGGGAGUUGAGUUGGCUACAGAGCUAUGCAGAUGUAUUUUCUAACAAUGCUGCCAUCAACUGGGGGGGGAAACAAACUGCACCCAAACUGUCUAUCUGUUUUCAGGUUAAUGCCAGUUUUGUAUUUAUGACACUUGAACCAAUUCAAAUUGUGUCUUAUUAGUUGUGGGAGGCAUACUAUGUGUUGGGAUGUUUUAUCUGUUCAAUGAUUUGACCUGUGAGACUAUUCAAACAGUGUAGGUGUAUGCUGGUAAUGUUUGAAAUACAGUGAUGCAACUGUCAUUAUGCAACAGGUGCUUGUUUUCGAAGGUGCAAUAGUUGUUGGUGUCAAAGCACUUAAAAAGGCCCAUGAUUCAGAUACACAUAUGUACAGUUAUUUCAGUUUCAGUAGUGAUACGCACAGUUUGUUUUUAGAUUUGUUGAACACGUUUGCUUUUUUCAGCUCGCCAUAUCCCAGCAGCCUACCUUCACAGCCUUGCAAAUUUACAUAACAUGAGCCUGUUGAAAUGUUUGAUUCAUUGCCUGCGCAAUUCGUCGGUUGAGAUGAAAACAGUAAGUGAUGCAACAGAUGUUCUCUCUGUGUGUCACGCAGCCAGUAAAAGUGAUUUGGCAUUCAGGAUCUGAAAAAUUACCGCAUCUGCUGAAGUUGUUAUUUCUCAGGAACAACUAGCAUUUCAAAAUUGCCAAACACACGCAGGAAAUGUGAUGAUUUCAUUGUUAUGUUCAGAAUGUCUUUCUCGCUUUUACUUCGAAUGUAUCGCGUGCUACCAACCCUUCCCACCGUGAGUUGAGUGUUUUGUUUGUGUAAACAGUGGGCUGGUUAUGAAAUCCCUAUGAUGGUAAAUGCCAUGGACUUUAAUCACUUCAAUCAAGUCCUUGAAAUCAUUCAAGAUGAGUCCUUCUGUUUUCUGAAAGACCACAUUUAAAUGGAAUUAUGUGUCAUAGCUAUUGAAUAUUAGUACAAAUACUUACCUUCCUGUUUAGACAGUGUAAUUAGUUUUACAUGGAAUUAUGUGUCAUAGCUAUUGAAUAUUAGUACAAAUACUCACCUUCCUGUUUAGACAGUGUAACUAGUUUUUAAACUCUUUCUCAGUCGUGACGAGGAUGCGGCCUAAUCCUGCCAUCCUACUUUCCCUGCAAUGACUGGUCUGAAAGCAUGUGCCACUGGGCUAAAGGGUUUUACGCAUGCAUCAGUCGAAUUAUCUCCAUCUCUGUGAAUUCAACUUGUAAUGUGAUACAGAGUUAACAUUCUAAUGGCACUCUGAACAUGAGAGAGAGAGAACCAUGCUGAAGAUGUCCUCUAUUGUGGAAUCCCAUGCAGGAUGGCAGAGGGAUGCAUGUUAACCUCUAGAUGGCGCUCUGAUGAUAUAAAGUUUAUUAUGCUGCUCUUGAGUCCACUAACCAAGGAACUAUGCACAGGAACGCAUUAAUGCAUUGGACGGGCUCCCUGGAAGUAUUCAGAGACAUCUUUCAACAGGAGUACGACUGACUGAUCUAGUUCUCAACUGAGUAUAGUUGUGCUUGUAUACAUGUAUAGUUCGGGACCAGAAAUAAGUCAGGCAAUUAGCAUUUCACUUCUGGUCAACCUUCAGGACUCUAAACAACCUCUGUAGAAGUGUAUAUCAACAUAUUUUUACUUUUAAUUUUGACAUUUUGAGGCAAAAGUGUAAAUAAAUAAAUAAAACUACAGCCUCAAAAAUCAGUGAAAGAAAUCUGUUCAUAGAUUUGACUGUUUAUGUCUCUGUUUUUUUUCUACCCAAAGGGCACAAAAUGCCUACAGCCUUGGCAGAGACGGGAAGAAAGCACAGAUCCAUUCUCCUUGAUACAGGACAAUGGAUGAAACGACUCCCCAUGAAUCAUCCACGUGGGUGCGGAACCCUGCACAGGAAAAUCAUCAGUCUGUGACACAAGGUCCUUCAGAAUGGUCCAUGUUGAAUGUUUCUCUAUGCACGGAUCAGAAGCAUGUUUCUGCCUUGAAGUUGGAGCUGUCAACAUACUGUAUGACAAGGAAUUCAGAUCAAACCAUAGGUCUAAAGAGCUAACAAAGUAAAAAACAAACAAACAAACAAAAAAACAUUUGUUUCUAUUUGACACAAAUCAGAUUAUUCAAAUUUAGUUUUAUGAACAAAAUUGUAUGGCUUGUCUUGCUCCUAAGUGUCAGGUCAACAAAAGUGGGUAGAAUUUAUGCCUGCACAGCUCUUUUUAAAAAUUCUUUUCUUUCAAAAUCCAGCAGUUCUUUGUUAUUUCACAUGAGACUAUAUACUAUGUGCUUGUAAAAAAGGCAUCAGUCCAUGCACAGACAGAGGUCACAGACUUUAGUGGGUGACUUGGACAAGCAAGGAGAGAGAGAGAGAGAGAGAAAGAGAAAGAGAGAGAGAGAGAGAGACAGAGCUAUGCUACAGAUAGGAACAAAUUCCUGGAACUGCUGUAGCUAAGUGCAAAAUUGCUUCCAUGGUAAUUUUAGAAUAGUAUGCCAUGUUGUGACCCAAGGUUUUAUUUGAUAAUUGGAGCUGAAUUGAAUGGCAGCAUUAGUUGCAAAUGUCUGUGAUGGAGAUAUGCAGAAUUGCCUACAAAUAGUAUCUUUGUUCUGACUUUGAGGGCAGGAAACGGCAUGGUUUUCAAGGACUAUGGCCUGCCUUGCGUAACCCCACCCCACCCCUACUUCCAGAAAAAAAAGAGAGGAAUAAAGAAAGAACACCAGAGAACAAAUACAGUAGUCUACUUUGUGGACCUCAUGCGAGAGAAGCCUUUCUCAUCUAAUAGAUAAAUUUAAUAAACACAAAUAACACCGCCUAUGGUCAGACCUUCUGAAACUCGUCUUUCAGGCACAUAAAAGAGCACAAUCCCUGGCUGCAGUUAGCACGCAGUUCAAAGUGGCACCGGGAAGACCAAUACAGAUCUCAAUUGAUCCACUGGCCACAAUUAGUACAAACUGCUUGUAACUUGCUGGAAAGUAUGAUUAAGGUACGUAACUUCUAUCAAAUGUAGUCUGAUAAAUUGACUUUUAGGAGGAAAUAAAAAAAGGCAAUCAUGUAGAACAGCAUGAUGGAUUUAUCUGCCCAUAAUGGAUACACUGGUCAGUGUCUCACUCUAUAGGACCUCACGUAACUCUGGCCAACUAGAUAUCUGGUCAUUUGUAACGUUUCUCUGUCGUUACAUUUGAAGACGUCAGACAUGAACAAAACACAUGCUCAGGUAAUAAACUAAAAUAAAACAUUAAGAGUUGGUUAUGACACCAGGCAGUUUUUUUUCCCAUCUCUUGUCAAUAUUCAAUUUGAAUAGAAGUACAAGCGUAACUCCAGCGUAUAUACCCCCAAAUUACAAGGACACUUCAUAGGGACUAAUGGCACACACACUCUACAGUGUAGUGGCAUGCUGUGGGUGAUUGGCCAUUGGGCUGAAGCGACUCCCAUGUCUCACAUAGACAUACAUGCUGACUCAGCAUAGGCCUCAUCAUGCAAAGUGAUAUGUAGGGUAAGGACAAACAAACAAACAAACAAACAAACAAACAAACAAACAAACGAGAACAUUGCGAGGGAAUCCAUCAAGCUGAGCUGCCACCGUAUGCCUACAUGCCAAAUAUGUGUAGAAAUGCCAGUGAGCAGCUACAUGGCUAAAUUAGAUUCUCCUCCAUUACUGCACACACAAUGGCACAUUCACUAGAGGAGACACGCACACACACACACACACAGACACACACACAGACACACACACAGACACACACACAGACACACACACACACACACACACACACACACACACACACACACACACAAUCAUCUAUGGUGAUUUUCAGACUACGUACACAGCAUGAUGCCACCAGGGAAACAAGUUUUGUUAAGUAACCUUAAAUAAUGUGUUGUGGCUAUCUACUGUUGCUGUCAUUUAUACAAAAGGAAAGUCAUGUAUAUCCAUUGUACACAUGUACAUAAUAUGAUCAUGUAAAAUUCACAGUCGGACAAAUAAAAUCACUUCAACUUCA